AGGAAAAGCUAGUUUAAACCUGUGUUUAUCAAGUGGAAACGUGAACGGUGAGUGUUUCGAAGUCAUUGCUUGUAUGCACGAUUCAUAGUGUUAAAUGAGAGCUUAGGAGUAGCCUAAUCUCCUAUCCUAAGUUUCAAGGGUAAGCCUUCUUACUUCUUUUGUUCAUUUUACAAAAAUUGUGACUAUGUGAUGCGAGAAGGGUAAUAUGAAGUGUUAAUAUUGCAAAUAAUAUGUGUGAUUGUGUAUGUAUGUGAUUUAAAUGGGGAUAAAGCUGUUUGAGCAUUAUGUGAGCACUUGUGAGAGCAUUAAUGGGAAGCAUAAUAAGCAUGCUAUGUGGAAACGUUAAUGUUGUGUAUGUGAUGAUUAAAAGCAGUGGUAAUAUGCAUUAAAACAGUGAGUAAAAAUGUGUGUAAUGGUGGAUAUUUUGGGCUUGUAAUCUUUCGAAACCAUUGGAUAUAGUUGGUAUGCCAUAGAAUUUGCGAGUAAUCACCAUUGUGAUUAUGAUUUGAGCAUUGAGGCUCGUAAAAGUUUAGAAAAAUAAGGAAAUGCGAGUUAAGCUCCAUUCAUCGGGAUAUGUUAGUGUAUUGGAGAGUGAAAGCUUGACGCUUCACUUAUGGGAUAUGUUGGACUCUUUGAGUUGUUGAUGUUGUGGAGAUCCGUGUAUCCAAUAUGUGGUGAUAGAGCCUACUCUUAUGUUUCAUAGUCUCAAGUGGCCAAUUUACCGUGAAUGAUUUUAUGUUUAUAUAUAUGUUAUACGUAAGUGCAUGAGAAAUAGAAGCUAGUUUGAUUGAGUUAAUGAAACCUUGUUAUAGUAAAUAUCUUAUUAUAAAUGUAUUUGAAAAUGUUCAUGAUUUAACCUAUGUUGAAAUGCAUGCUUGUGGUUAAUUCUGAUACAUUCACUGAGCUUGUUUAAGCUCACACCUCUCAUUAAACCUUUGCAGAUUAAUUGCAUUCUGGUGUGAGCGGUGCGACCAAGGAAGUGAUCUAAGCUAGGCAAUAGUAAUUUGAGCAGGUGAUUUUAUUAUUCUUUUGGACUUUUGGAAUAAAGGCAGUGUGAAUUUAGAACUUCAUUGGUUACAUUAAUAUUUUAUUUGUUUAUUAUGAUUUUGGGCUUG
rnacentral:lncRNA from 1 species